CGAUAUUGCCUAUUUGGUUUUGGUGAUCUGUGUCAGCCGCAUAACUUAACUUCUUUUUUGUGUAUAUGAAGUCUUAAAAAUAAUUAAAAUGAGAUGUAAUACGUUAACUAUUCAACAACGAUGAUAUAUUUAGGAGACCAACUUUUGUAUUCGUUAUUAUAUAAUCGAUAAAAAUUGUAGUGUUACAAAAUGUUCAAACCAUUUAAUAAAUAAACAUUAUUAUAAAAACUUACCCGCGUAUGCGCGUGGAUUAUAUCUAGUGAUAGAUUAUUUGUUUUGUGAUGAAUGGAAAUCUCAUUACCAAAGAGUCGCAUCCAUUAAAAAUAAAAAUCUCAAACUACAUCACUCAAUUUUAUUACCAUAUAUAUAAAUACCCAAACAUCCUCACUGGAGCAAAAAUAUCUGAAGAAGAAGAAAAUUCUAACUUUCUAUUUUUGCUCUCUAUCAUUUCUUCAACAUACGAAUAAAAGCUCGACCGACUUGAAGAGGAAGCGUCCAAUAUAAGAGGACUAUGGACGAACAACAUAAGAAGGUUUUAAGAAGGGAAAAGGACAACUCGAGAGAAUUACAAGGUGAUCUCCAUAUGGUAAAGGAUCAAAUGAAAACAAAAAAAAAUUCAAGGCACUCAGCACAACUUGAAGUAAACUCUAUUUCUGAACAAAUAGAUUUACUAGAAGACUUGAAGGCUGAGAAGGAGAAACUCAAAACCAAGCUCCUCCUUGCGGAGGAUGAAUUAUUCAAUGUAAAAGUCCUACCUAUUGAUUGGGAUCAAAUUGGGAGAAAUAUAUAUCUCGCUAACCAUUGGCCUUCUAAAUGAAAACUUUAAAUAGUUUCA